UGACAGGGGUUAAAGUGGGAAAACCUUGGGGAAUUCCUCACUUGGUCUAUUUGCCAAAAUUACCCAAACCACUGCCAGGAAGAGAUUGGGUGGAAAAGUGUAGGCAGGUAUUAAAUUGACCAAUGGGGAGAUGAUUGAAAUUGUAAUUGCUGAAACUAACUGUGUGAGAGCAGCAGCUCUUCUCGUGCAGGAAAUAACUCCUGUCAGCAGCACCGUCCCGACUGGAGUGGCAGAUGGAGUUGUUCCUGUGGUGUGGGCCAGUGGAAUUCCAGGAGAAUGGACAAGGGCAGAACCUGAGCAAGGCAAGCCAAGAAACCUUUACUUUUUUUAAGGAGAAAAUCCAGAGAUGGGGAAGGAAGAAAAGAAGCCACCUGAGUCCUCCCUGAGCCACAGGCAGUCCAUGAAGUGCCUUCCUGGGAAUGGGAGGAUGGUGAGGACUCUGCAUUGCUCCCUCUGGAUGUGUGGAUGUGCCCUGCAGGAACUCCAGGAAUUGACGGUGACGCCUCGGCCGAUGGAUUGGACGCCCCAGCCCGUGCGUUCCUGCCCAGCCCUUGGGUCCCUGUCAAGUGGUGGGACUGCCAGCCCCUGCAGGGGGCUGUGGCAUGGAAACUGCAGAGAGCCAAGCCAGAGGAUUGAAAGGGACUCAUCCAGGGAGGUGAAGAAAGAAGGAAGAAGGGAAGUGAGGCAGCAGCCAAGCAGCACCAAGUUCCUCUGUCAGCAGGUGAGUUGUCUUGAGGUUCCUAAGGCAGGCCCUUGGGACUUUGGGGACUCCAGACAGAGAAGACCGUGGAAGCUCCUUGGAGAAGCCUCUCAGAAACCUUACAAGGUAGGUGUGUAUGGUAAUAAGUGUUGGAGAAUGCCCUGGAUAUAGAACUGGAAUGCAGGGAAUGGAAAAAGGCA